UACGUAGGUGGCAAGCGUUGUCCGGAUUUACUGGGUGUAAAGGGCGUGUAGCCGGGCUGACAAGUCAGAUGUGAAAUCCGGGGGCUCAACCCCCGAACUGCAUUUGAAACUGGCGAUCUUGAGUGGAAGAGAAGUAUGCGGAAUGCGUGGUGUAGCGGUGAAAUGCAUAGAUAUCACGCAGAACCCCGAUUGCGAAGGCAGCAUGCCGGCUUCCUACUGACGCUGAAGCACGAAAGCGUGGGGAUCGAACAGG
rnacentral:rRNA from 1 species